GUGCUUGCUUCGGCAGCACAUAUACCAAAAGUGGGCAAUACAGAGAAAAUUAGCAUGCCCCCUGCGCAAGGAUGACCUGCAAAUUCGUGAAGUGUUUCUUUUUUUU
rfam:Tupaia chinensis contig217225, whole genome shotgun sequence.